rnacentral:rRNA from 1 species
UAGUAACGGCGAGUGAAGCGGGAAGAGCUCAAAUUUGAAAUCUGGUGGCCUCAGGUCAUCCGAGUUGUAAUCUAUAGAAGUGUUUUCCGUGCUGGCUCAUGUACAAGUCCCUUGGAACAGGGCGUCAUAGAGGGUGAGAAUCCCGUCCUUGACAUGAACUACCAGUGCUCUGUGAUACAUUUUCAACGAGUCGAGUUGUUUGGGAAUGCAGCUCAAAAUGGGUGGUAAAUUCCAUCUAAAGCUAAAUAUUGGCGAGAGACCGAUAGCGAACAAGUACCGUGAGGGAAAGAUGAAAAGCACUUUGGAAAGAGAGUUAAACAGUAUGUGAAAUUGUUGAAAGGGAAACGAUUGAAGUCAGUCGUGCUCUUUGGAUUCAGCCGGUUCUGCCGGUGUACUUCCUUUGAGUGGGGUCAACAUCAGUUUUGAUCGCUGGAUAAAGGCUGGAGGAACGUAGUACCCUCGGGUAAACUUAUAGCCUCCUGUCACAUACAGUGGUUGGGACUGAGGAACGCAGCACGCCUUUAUGGCCGGGAUUCGUCCACGUACGUGCUUAGGAUGUUGACAUAAUGGCUUU